rnacentral:tRNA from 1 species
GUUUUAGCUUCGUGGUAGAGUGCUUGCCUAGCAUGCAUGAGGCCCUGGGUUCAGUCCCCAGCACUGAAUA